rnacentral:rRNA from 1 species
GUGGGGAAUUUUGGACAAUGGGGGCAACCCUGAUCCAGCCAUGCCGCGUGCGGGAAGAAGGCCUUCGGGUUGUAAACCGCUUUUGUCAGGGAAGAAAUCCUUUGGGUUAAUACCUCGGAGGGAUGACGGUACCUGAAGAAUAAGCACCGGCUAACUACGUGCCAGCAGCCGCGGUAAUACGUAGGGUGCAAGCGUUAAUCGGAAUUACUGGGCGUAAAGCGUGCGCAGGCGGUUUUGUAAGACAGACGUGAAAUCCCCGGGCUCAACCUGGGAAUGGCGUUUGUGACUACAAAGCUGGAGUGCGGCAGAGGGGGAUGGAAUUCCGCGUGUAGCAGUGAAAUGCGUAGAUAUGCGGAGGAACACCGAUGGCGAAGGCAAUCCCCUGGGCCUGCACUGACGCUCAUGCACGAAAGCGUGGGGAGCAAACAGGAUUAGAUACCCUAGUAGUCC